UACGGAGGGUGCAAGCGUUAUCCGGAUUCACUGGGUUUAAAGGGUGCGUAGGCGGGCAGGAAAGUCCGUGGUGAAAUCUCUGAGCUUAACUCAGAAACUGCCAUGGAUACUAUUUGUCUUGAAUAUUGUGGAGGUGAGCGGAAUAUGUCAUGUAGCGGUGAAAUGCUUAGAUAUGACAUAGAACACCAAUUGCGAAGGCAGCUCACUACACAAUUAUUGACGCUGAGGCACGAAAGCGUGGGGAUCAAACAGG
rnacentral:rRNA from 1 species